AUACUUACCUGGCAGAGGAGAUGCCAUGACCAUAAAGGUGGUUUGCCCAGGGCGAGGCUCACCCAUUGCCCUCCAGAUGUGCUGACCCCUCUGAUGUCCCCAAAUGUGGGGAACUGGACUGCAUAAUUUAUGGUAGUGGGGGACUGCGUUCGUGCUCUCCCCUG